rnacentral:rRNA from 1 species
UACGAAGGGGGCUAGCGUUGCUCGGAAUCACUGGGCGUAAAGGGUGCGUAGGCGGGUCUUUAAGUCAGGGGUGAAAUCCUGGAGCUCAACUCCAGAACUGCCUUUGAUACUGAGGAUCUUGAGUUCGGGAGAGGUGAGUGGAACUGCGAGUGUAGAGGUGAAAUUCGUAGAUAUUCGCAAGAACACCAGUGGCGAAGGCGCUCACUGGCUCGUUUCUGACGCUCAGGCGCGAUAGCGUGGGGAUCAAACAGG